ACGCGACUUUUCCAUACUCCACUAGGCAAAUAAGCUUCCCGGAGACCCGGACCCACUAGCUCGAUGAUAUCCCGCACCCCUCCAUCCAUUUCGCAUUUUGUGUGUCCUCCCCCAUCUCUAUCUAGGUUAGCAUCUCCCUCCUCUCUAUCUCGUGCAUUCCCUCAUCAAUUCAUCGUUGUUGCCCUCAGAUCUGGUGAUUCCAUGCGGUGGGAAGUGCAGAUCAUGGAUCGAGAGGCAAGGGCACCCACGGAGGUGGAGAUGCGAGGUGAAUCCAAUUGGUGGAGGUGGAGCCGAUGCUCACAAAGGUUUUCUGCUAGAGGGAGAAUCCUAAAUCGAGGAGGGAGGAGGAGCUACUCACACGGUGGUGCAUGGCAGGACGCCCUCCGGCUGCUCCUAGUCUACGGGAACAUCCCCAAGUCUACUGUUGCAAAUGAUGCCCCGGAGCUACCGGCGUGCUGGCUAUCGGGGGGGGUGCAUUCUGUUGGUGGGAGUGUACAUCCAGGAUCUCGCGUAGAUCGCCGACCGCUGCUACACCAUGACUGAUCACAGAUGUGGCCCUGAGGGAUGCCAGUUGGGCGGAAAGAAUGCCACCAUGCCCGAGUGUUCCUGAAAGGAGGGAUCCCGGUGAAGUUGGGGGGCAUUGUUAUCGAGAUUUUAAUCUUUGUUUCCUAUAUUUUAUUCAUGUAUCCACGGUUUGCUCGUCUUGCUUCAAGACUGCAGCAGCAAGUGCUGGGGAUGCUGCUGUGACGUUGCUUGUGAGAAGAGACGUGUGCUGAUGAUGGUGCGGCUGUCGUAGGCGAGCUCGAGAGAGUGCUAGACAAGGCCAAUGCCUAUGCUUCCAAGUGGCCGCGCGUCAACAGUGGCUGGAGCAAGAGCAAUCAUGACCUCCCUAAUGUUCUCCGAAUCCUCUCGGUCUAUGUCUCAUGGCUUCAGCUGGAAAAGAGGAAGGAUCGAGGCAGCUAGCGCGGAGGAUCGGAGGAUCUGGUGCGGAUCUUUCAAGUGCAUGAGUGGUGAUGAGCUAGCAACUAGUUUCCUUCAACUAUUGCAGAUUGCAGUUCUUAGGUUGGUGAGUAGCUCUAUCUGUCGCAACCUCCACAGGGAUGCACCGGUGAACAGAUUGCAGCUAUUUGGCGCAUAUCCCAUCAUGGCUAUUAGGUGACCAAAAUCAGAAAAAUAUAGUAGAAUCAAGCAGAUCAUCAGUCAGCUAGAGAGGAGUUACCUUGUGUGCUUGAACACAAAGGACCUUUGGGUGGGGUGAUUGGGGGUGGAGGGGCCAGCAGCGUGCAGGUGGAGCAUGGGCGCAUGAUCAAGCAAGUUCUAUUUUGGAUAGAUGAUAACUAUUUAUAGAUGCAUUGUAGACAUAGAAAAAAUUGGGGGCUCAGAUUCUGUUUCUCUUGGGGGAAGGGGUAGUUGCUGGGGAUGAACCCUAAAAUCACUGCAGAUGAACGCAAAAACUAAUCUGCAGCAGCAUUUUCUUUUGGGGAGUGAGUGAAAAAUGUAUUUCCCUGGUUUAGACAGUCAAUUUUAUGGCACUAUCUUCGUUUUCCUUUGUA